GGAUAGUGCAAAUCGAUGAGAUUGCAAAAUCUUUGUGAUCAGGUCAAAGAAAAGAAAUGCUUGAAGUGGUUCUAAAAUUUCUUACUGAGGCUGAUACUGAAGCCUGUGCAUAAGAUAUGGAGACUUUGAUCAAAUAUGCAGUUGAACUAUAUAUGUUGGAAAAUUCGUAUAGACCUUCAGGGUAUGCAAACAAAGUAUUGUUGAACCAAACAAUGAACCUGUAAUACAUGGAUAAGCGUUAAUGGGCCUCGACUCCAGAAUUGGCAAUACGGCAAAAUAAUCCGAGAUAGCAUCCAUACACAUAAUUCAAGUUUAGAACUUGAUGGACCAUGUGAAAGACUUCAAGUCUAAAAUGCAGUGAUGGAUCUAUAGAUUGACAAAGAUUAAAAAUGUUUUAUAAUGCUUGACUUGUUGCAAAUAGUUUAUGACAAGAUUAAGAAGUUGAUUAUGACGAGUUUGUCUCAUCAUAAUCUCUAGCAUAUUAAAGAAGGAUCGAACGUCGUGAUGGUUCGACCUCCUUCCCGCCCCCUCGUGAUAUCGCUACUUCCCCGCCUCGCCUGGUGCGACCCCCGUAGAAAAAAAACAUCCAAUGUAACAAAACAAACGGAUAAAAUCCCCGCACGAAAAAAGGAACAAUUACCGGGGAAGCAACUGCAUCCCACGAUCGCACGUCCCACGCCUGGUCUCCCCAGCCCCUCGCUUCCGAUCACAUCUCUCGCCUGUAUGGUCUCGCCGCUCUGCCCUCUCGAUCCGCCGCCGUGAAGCCUGUAUGGUCACCAUCUAGCCUCCACCGUCUCCCUUCUCCUCUCUGAAGGCAGGCCCUCCUCGGUGUGAUGAGUAGUCCGCGGUGCUGCCGCCCCCUGCACGAGAGUGGCCGCGGCGUCGGCCACACCAGCACUCUCGUCGGGGCCGCACUUCCUGUACCGUACCUGGCUGGCCGGGAGGAGCUUGCUGCUCGCCAUGAUCUUCUCCACGUGGUAAUUUGCUUUUAUUGGAUUGUGGGAGGAGAGGCCAAACCGUACUUGUGUAAUGGUGCAGCUUAAAUGUUUGAAGGAAGACUUACAUCAUACUUGGAGAAUAAUUACAUCCUACUUGGAGGUAGGAGGGACGUGUCAUAUGUUUUUGGGAUCCAGAACAAGAUGGUUGUAUAUACAUCCAAAUUCAGAUCACACAGUGCCUUACAAGGUGGGAAUCAGCAGGGCAAGGGAAGAAUCCUGGGAGGUAAUUUUGAUUAUCCCAUAAUGGGGUCCAUGAUAAAUGUUGGCUAAUUGUGUUUUGAAGAAUAUCAGUUUCAUGUUCUCUUGGUGUUUUUGGAUUUGCCUCAAUGUCAUCCAGAUUGAUUUCAUAUACCAAAAUCUUAAUCCAACUCUUUUCUGGACAUAAGUUUAUAUGCACAUGCUACAUAGUUUUGAUGUAUAUAUGUCUCUUCCUCUGAGUAGUAUGCUCCAAUUUUUGUUUCUUGAUGUAUAUUGCCACUUGAAUAACACUCAGUUUCUCUAAAUAAAUUUGUACUCUACAUACCUCUCUCUCUCUGCGGUGGAAAAUCUAUCAUACAGGGCAAUAAGAUGAAAUCAGUUUUUAAUUUGAGAUGUCCUUUAAAAAACCCAUGGAGAAACCAAGCGAAUUGACAGUCAGCCCGCAUCAAUAUGGCGAAUCGACCGGAGUUGCCUUCUUGGGACGAUGCAUUUGCAUUGAAGCAGUGUCGCUGGUCUGAUCGCGGCGGUCAGCACCGCCCUCCCAUCCGGUCACAUUGCGCGACAUCAAUACAGGUCUGCAGCUCUGGGCCGGCAUGAAUGUGGUGCGGGAAGCUGCGCAUCUGUUGGAGAGAUAGAGUAUGUAUGUUUAUUUGUAUUUUUCUUACUUAAUAGGUGGAUUUGCUCCAGUGAUUCUGCGGCCGUCGAGGAGGUGAGGUUUUUCCAUCAAAUGAUUUUACAGUCUGUUUGGUGUGACCACUGCUACUAGGUGCAGAGUAAGGACUAGGACAAGCAUCAGUCAUGUAAAUUGUUAAUCAAUCUGGUUUUGCAAGUCGUUGAGUCGUAGUAGCUAUGUAGGAUUCCUAAUGGAUACUACCAUGAAUCAUGUUCUGUCGUUAAGGAGAACCUUUUCUAAAUGUAUUCCAGCUGAGCCUCUUCUAUUUUUUUCCUUUUGGCAUGGACAAGGAUUCACCUUAAAUACUACUCCCUCCGUCCCAAAAUAAAUGACUCAACUUUGUACUAGCUUUAAUACAAAGUCGAGUCACUUAUUUUGGGACGGAGGGAGUAUUAUAUAGAGUACAUCUCUGCAGUAGUUCUUUUUUUACAACAGAGUACAUGUCUAUAGUUAGCUUAGAGCGAUAACUCAUCUGUCAUUUGCACUUGCUGUUUCAUAUGCUUUUGGAAAAGGUAAAGCUUCUGGGAUUACAAUUAUAGUGUUUACUUGGAGUAAGUACAGUUUACAUCCUAAUAUUGUCACUAAUACUGUAUAAUCUAGCUUUACAUGCUUUUCUCACUCUGGAGGGUAAUGUCAUGGACGUCUGAUGCGAUUUCAGACUUUUCAGUGUGCAAAUGCUUAGAGCAUUUGACUUAUAUAUAUACAUGACAUAUGUCAAAAUGACCAUGAAGGAUAUAUGUCAUAGCAGCUAUUUAGUUGGAAGAAAACAUAGAUUGAAGAUGGAUAUAUCAGAUGCACCUGCUUGAUAGGAUUCUUAUUUAGUUAUGUGGAGGCAGUGAUGCUUCCUUUGAUGCGGAUAUGUGUAUUUUUUAAAUAUUUGCUUACUUGCUUCUUGCUUGUCUAUCAGGCUACUUUGGUAGAUUUUAGAGAGAAAUUUGUUUUUGAACAAGACUGUCAAGGAAGCAUCAUGGCAAAGAUAUAUGUUGCAUUACUACAGUUGAGAUAAUUUGAUUUGAUUAUAAUAUGUCAAGCUUCUGAAACUUCACUAUGUACGUUGGUUUGGUGGUUUCAUAUUUGUCACACUAUAGUAAUAAGCAACAUACGACACAUAAAUUCUUGAUUUUUUUCUGACUCAAGAUCUCUACGCCUAAAUUUAUUGUUUUGUGGCACUGUGCGGACAUUUUUCUCUUGGUGACCAAUAUCCCUCAAGCUCUACGAGAUUUGAUUAAGAACAUAGGGAUAUUUUUUUUAACUCGUGAUGAUAAGUAUGUAUAUCUGGAAUUCAAGUUUGAGUCACAUGUACUUGGUUUAGUAGUACUCUUUCCGUUCAAAAUAAAUGUCCGGUUUUAGUUCAAAUUUAAACCGACACUUUGGAACGGAGGGAGUAUAUUGUAUAGGGAAGAAGGUAUCAUACUAUUUCGUGGGGUGAGCGCUUUAAGCGGGAGGGGUUCUCAGGGCUUCAAGUGGGUUUAUCGUGGGUUAGUAGAUAACAGCGAGCAACUAGCAAGGUUGGAUCAACGUUGGAGGCGAAUAACAAUGGUGAGCGAUGUUUAAAUUUAUGUUCCGUGGCAACGCACGGGCACUCAGCUAGUAAUACUUAAAUUCAGUUCGGAUCAAACUAGCAAUUACUAAAUAUUUCAGUUAUGAGAUAUAAUAGACGGGCGUCAAAAUGAUUCCCAUGAGAUGGAAAUAGAACCAAGGUUGUAUAUUUGAUGGUCCAAGGUAAUUUUGUCGAUCCAGAGGAUGCUAGUAAGUGUGCAAAUCUGAAGCAAGCAUAGUGGAGUUGGAAUCUUCGUCCUGAUGAAAUGGUCAAAUAAUUUGAUUUCGUCGAGGAAAGUGAAGAUGCUUGUA